CACUCUGUCACCAGUCAUCCCCUCACUCUGUCACCAGUCAUCCCCUCACUCUAGUGACAGAGUGAGGGAGGGUGUGAGUAGUGACAGAGUGAGGGAGAGGGUGACUAGUGACAGAGUGAGGGAGAGGGUGACUAGUGACAGAGAGGGGGGGUGACUAGUGACAGUGAGGGGGGGUGACUGGUGACAGUGAGGGGGGGUGACUGGUGACAGUGAGGGGGUG